rnacentral:lncRNA from 1 species
AUUUAUUAAAUAAAUAAUAUAAAUUAUUAAUAAACUGGAAACCACAAAACACCACCGGACGCCGCUAGAAGCAUCCUGCAACCAGUACCGUCACAUUUGUCACUGUUGGAAGGAGAUCUGAAGCAGUGAGCGAUGGAGAUCUGGUUGAUGAGUCACUUCGCUUGUCGACGCCCCCAUCUGAUUCACCGAGAGAUCCGGUCAUCGACUGCAUCUGUUCCCUCCUCGCUCCUCCCUCUUCGCCAUCGACUGCAUCUGCUCCUUCCUCGCUCAUCCUCUCCGCCAUCGUUUCUUUAAAGGUUUCAGGUGUGGCGGUGGUUCACUUUACUUGUUUUCCUCCAUUCUUGUCACUAUGGCGGGGGUAUUUGUUUUAAGCUAAUCCAAUUCUCAUUCUAUUCGGCUGGGUUUUCUUCUGGAGGGGCUCCUUUUUGUUUCUGUGUGGCGAUUUUUGCGUUUCUUAUGACAUACGUGGCGUUUUUUUGGGGUUUAGGUAUUGCAAGUCGCUUCUUUGAAUUUCCCUCUUCUGACUUCUCAUCUCUUGUCGUCUUCUUUCUCUGUGUUUUGUUGUUCUUUCAUGUAAUACAUUCCUCCAUUGAUAUUCCGUCAUCUAUGAUUUCCCUUUCUAUGACCUUUGAUUUCCUAUAUUUCGUUAUUCUCUGUUUCUCUCUUAUGUCUGACGUCUGUUUGUAGAGAUUGUCCUCCCUGCUGUCCUCUUUCUUCUUCCUCAGCUUUGCGUCUGGGCUUUUACAGGUAAUACUUUUGCCAUUGAUCACUGCUACUUUCUGUGAUCUAUCUAUACAAGUUCUGCAAUGGAGGUCACUACAUUUAACUAGACAUUCCCAGAUGCCGAGUUUCCGGUUUGAGACAAAAUUGCUGCUGUUGUCAGACUCAGCUAUGGAAUCGGUUAGUUUCCAUUUCUUUUCCCUAAAUUAAAACUUCAAAACGAAAAUUUCAUUGUGUGUUGAAACUUGAAACUUGAAUGAGAACAUUAAUGGUGGUACUUCAUCGAAUAGUCGAUUCUAUGGUGAUUCAUGAUGGGGUUUUGAUUUUUGCUAUCUCUAAUGAACAUGGAUCAAUGGAGAUUUAGAAUUUGUUGUUCUUCAUGGUUACAUCUUCCUUUCUAAUAAAGGUGAAAAAUUCAUGCAUACCUUUUCUUUCUCGUAAACAUAUUGUUCAACUUUGGCCUAUUAAACACAUGUUCUACAAAAUCCAUCCAUAUAUUAACUCAAAAUUGGUGUAAAACCAAAACAAGAGAUGAUUGCGUAAAAAAAAAACCAGAUUAUUGAUUCCUACCCUAAUAUGGAAGUACACAUAUCAUUAAGAAUCAGAAUUAGAUAAUUGACUGUUAAAAAAAAAUCUUUAGUGUCAUAUAUGCAAUGGUGUCGGGUUAUUGAAGGUUUAGUCUGAUAGACUUAUUGACUUAUUUCAUGUGUAUUUUUUUACAUUCCAUUACGAUAUAGUGUGCUGCAAUUUCCAUGUUUUUUUUCGAGAUACAUGAUGAUUAUUAAAAUGACAAAAUGAGUUACAUGAAGAUAGCAUGCAUGACUUUUUUACCUUUCAAGUUGCACAUGUGAUUUAUAGUUGCCUUAUAUUGACUAUCAAUUUUUUUGUAGAUAUUUCGAUCAAGGUAUGGAUGUCAGAAGAAGUUUUUUUAGUUUGAACCACUUUUUGUAACUUAAAUUAGAGAAACUUAUAAUACUAUAUACCUAUUAAUUAGAAUUAUGAAGAAAAAGAAUAUUUUGAAACCAAGUGGCAGCCCAGCCAAAUAAAGUUUGAAUUGAAGAAACAAAACUCAUAUACAAAUUUACACCAACUUAGUUUUUUGCUUACUAGAUUGAGGAAAUUGUCGAUAUUCAUAAGCAAAUCUAGAUACAUAAAACACACAGAAUAUAACUCGGAUUUCCAUAGCCACUAUGCUUGCUAAAAAGAAAUCUCCUAUUACUAGCAGUGUAGCUGCAAUGUGUAUCCCAUAACUACUCUUUAUUUUUCUAUAUUGUGUAAUUAUUUUUGGCAAAGAACUCACAGGAUUGUAUGAGAGUAUGAUAUGAGCCCAAAUAUUCGCAACAAAUGAACAUCAAAAUUGACCAAAUCUAUGAUAGAAUCUUACCUAUAGGAGAACGGCGACUACGAAGAACUUCAUGGAAUUGUGAACGGAGGUUGGCUGCUGAUUCGAUGGACUCCAUCUUCUGAAAUUCCGACAAGCAACGGUGAUGUGAACACGUUGAUGUGAUGUGUUGUGUUUAUAUUUAUAGUAGAGUAAUUGCGAUACGGGAGCAGGUGAGAGUGAUGGAACAUCUCCGGUAUGUGGUGGUUGUACUUGUAGGUGAUAGUGCGAAUGGAGAGAACAAAUUACUGAAAUGGCCCUUGUGGUUUGCAAAAAUUUCACGUUUGGUUCCUAAGUAUUCUUUUGCACUUGGACGGUCUGUAAGUUUUUAUUUUAUUGUGUUUUUCAUACCUCAUGGAGCUAAAAAAGACUAUAUUAUCCUUUAUCUUUAUAUUUUCAAAAUUUUAUAUUAUUAGUUUACUAUUGAAUAAUAUAAAUUAUUAAAUAAACUUGAAAUUGGACCCACCUAAAACCCUACACCCCUCACGUCCUCUCACAUUUCAGUUGGUCGACGUUGCGAAUCAGCGACCGCUGCCGGAAAACACCAGGAAACCACUAGACCGCCGAUCCGAGCUCUAAAUCGACUGAUUUGCUCCAUCAACCACUGAUCUUCAUAACCGGACACCACUAGAAGCAUUCUGCGACCAAUAUUUUUCACUAUUGGAUGGAGAUUUGAAGCAGUGCUGGAUGGAGAUCUGGUUCAUGAGUUACUUCUCUUCUUCUCGACGCCUCCAUCUGAUCCACUGAGAGAUCCGGUCAUCUAUUGCAUCUGCACCCUCCUCGCUCAUCCUCUUCGCCAUCAGUUUAUAAAGGGUUCAAGGGUGGCGGUGGUUUACUUUACUUGUCUUCCUCCAUUCUUGUCACUAUGGCGGGCGUAGCUUCAUGACACCGUAGUGGAUUCGGUGGUCAUUGCUUCAUGUUACUAUGGUGUUGGUGGCUUCACGACGAUGAUGACAACAAAUCUAGAAGCUUUUAGUUUUUAGUAGCGGUUUUCAGGCGACGAAGGGAGAGAUGUUUUCAAGGGAGGCGGUGUUUUCAGAAAGAUAAGAGACAACGAUGGUGGUGGUUUCAUUUAGGAUAUACAUCGAGUAAAUUAUGAAAACCGUUUGUUUCAUUUAGGAUAUGUAUUAUUUAAAUUGUAAAAAUUGGUUGUUUCAUUUAGGAUAUGCAUUAUGUAAAUUAUGAAAAUCGUUUGUUUCAUUUACGAUAUUCAUCGAGUAAAUUACGAAAAUCGUUUGUUUCAUUUAGGAUAUGCAUCGAAUAAAUUACGAAACUUGUUUGUUUCAUUUAGGAUAUUUAUCGAGAAAAUUUCGAAAAUCGUUUGUUUCAUUUAGUAUAUGCAUUGAGUAAAUUACGAAACUGUUUGUUUCAUUCAAGAUAUGUAUUAUGUAAAUUGUGAAAAUUGGUUGUUUCAUUUAGGAUAUAC